rnacentral:rRNA from 1 species
CCUACGGGUGGCAGCAGUGGGGAAUAUUGCACAAUGGGGGAAACCCUGAUGCAGCGACGCCGCGUGAGUGAAGAAGUAUUUCGGUACGUAAAGCUCUAUCAGCAGGGAAGAAAAUGACGGUACCUGACUAAGAAGCCCCGGCUAACUACGUGCCAGCAGCCGCGGUAAUACGUAGGGGGCAAGCGUUAUCCGGAUUUACUGGGUGUAAAGGGAGCGUAGACGGCAGCGCAAGUCUGGAGUGAAAUCCCAUGGCUUAACCAUGGAACUGCUUUGGAAACUGUGCAGCUAGAGUGCAGGAGAGGUAAGCGGAAUUCCUAGUGUAGCGGUGAAAUGCGUAGAUAUUAGGAGGAACACCAGUGGCGAAGGCGGCUUACUGGACUGUAACUGACGUUGAGGCUCGAAAGCGUGGGGAGCAAACAGUAUUAGAUACCCCAGUAGUC